CCCAAAGCCUCUCGUUUCCUCACGAAUAUCCAACACAGUGGAGGUGUUCCAACUGACUGUACAGCACCAGAGGAAGCAUCUGACCCAUAUGUUGACUGGCCAUCCUGGACUCCCAGUGCUCCCUAUGGCCAGUCCAUCCCUGGCUAGGCCAAUAAUCAAUUCAACAUCAGCUCUCUUAAGCGAGUCCAUGCGGCAUUGAAUGGGGUCUACUCCAUGGUUAACAUGUGUCUCGGUCAUUUAGCAUGCGGGUAUCAUGCCAUCAUGACUUUUAACUCCAGAGGAGGAAACUUGACGGCAGACCUCAGGGGAGAGCCACAUGAUCCUCCAGAUAUCCCUACACCUUCCAACCCCACAGAGAGAGAGAGAGAGAGAGAGAGAGAGAGAGAGACUGAGAACUGUGGAGCGCCAUGUCGGAAAGAGGAGGGGGUCUGGUAAGAUGAGUGGAACUCUGAAGGACCGCUUCACAUCCCAAUGAGAGAAUUUGGUGUGGAAGUGAACUUGUGUAUGCAAGUGAUCGAUACCAGCUACCCAUCUUGCUCGUCUCAAACACACACACACACACACACACAUGCAAACGCACCCAGGGUGCAACAGUGCUGUCUCACUCCGCCUCGUAAUGAGUGUAUAGGCUCAACACUGGCAGAUGGGAGAAAUGCCACCGUUGCAGAGCGUGUCACUCAGCUGUGAUAAGAUGUAUUAGAGAGG